AUAAAAGCAGAAACAUAAAUAUAAAAGUGGAGCCAGCACUAUUAACUAAAAUACUUUCUCAUUUUAAUUGUUAAUGCAGAUUACUGGAUAACUCACUUUAACCAAUUUAAGAAUAAAAAAAUGAAAACAUUCUUAAUUUUAGAUUAAUUGUAAUUACAUGUUAUUGUGUCUUUUUUUACUAUUUUUAUAAAGGCUAAACGCAAACAACCAAACACAACAUAGAGAAUCCAGGUCAAGACAAAAUGACAUUAUAGAUGACAUAAUGUGCCUAAUUGUUUCUGGUAUUAAUAGACAUCAGACCUGCAGAGAAUUCAGAGAUCACAGAAAUUGGGUCUGACUGAGCCUUGCUUAGAUGCCUGUGAUACCGCUCCUUGUACAAGUCAACAUACCAACCCUUUCUUUAUGAACACAUUGCCAACAUACCUAAGGCUUCUGAUGUUGCAACAAUUAUCAGUUCAUCUGUGGCUGAGCCCAACACAUCUAGAACAUGUGUAUUUUGCUC
rnacentral:lncRNA from 1 species